rnacentral:sRNA from 1 species
AUGUACCACUCGUACACUCCGACGCUGAGCGCGCUGCCCGCACCCGCCUGACGACUGCGCGCUACGUUCUGUUAGCC